UGGCGAACGGGUGAGUAACACGUGGGUGAUCUGCCCUGCACUUUGGGAUAAGCCUGGGAAACUGGGUCUAAUACCAGAUAGGACCAUGCUUUGGAUGGUGUGGUGGAAAGUUUUUUCGGUGUGGGAUGAGCUUGCGGCCUAUCAGCUUGUUGAUGGGGUAAUGGCCUACCAAGGCGUCGACGGGUAGCCGGCCUGAGAGGGUGUACGGCCACAUUGGGACUGAGAUACGGCCCAG
rnacentral:rRNA from 1 species